ACGGCAGCUCAGAGCGCCGGUGGAGGAUGCGCCCGAGGAGGCAGGUGCACACGGUGGAGUUUUCCAGAGCCUACGUGACAUGUAAUAUCAGAACAGAAUGAAUACAGAAAUGGAGAGAACUGAGCUAUCCUCUGUGAAGUCAGAUAUCAAAGCGUUCUGAGACCAGGAAGUUUGAGAACCACUGCUCCUCACCAGCCUGUAUUUAAUAACUCAAAAGAAUGCUAAUUCUUUUUUCUUUGUGGCCGCACCAUGAGCCAUGUGGGAUCCUAGUUCCCUGACCAGGGAUCGAACCCGUGUCCCCUGCAGUGGAAGCGUGGCGUCCCAACCACUGGACCACCAGAGAGGUCUUAAUAUAUUCAUGGCGGGCUUCCCUGGUGGCGCAGUGGUUAAGAAUCCGCCUGCCAAUGCAGCGGACAGGGGUUCGAUCCUUGGAUCGGGAAGAUCCCACAUGCCGCGGAGCAACUAAGCCCGUGUGGCACAACUACUGAGCCUGCGCUCUAGAGCCCAAGUUCUGCAACAAGUGAAGCCACGACAAUGAGAAGCCCAUGCACUGCAAAGAAGAGUAGCCCCCGCUCACCGCAACUAAAGAAAGCCCGCGCACAGCAACAAAGACCCAACAC